rnacentral:rRNA from 1 species
AUUGAACGCUGGCGGCAUGCCUAACACAUGCAAGUCGAGCGGACAAACGGGGCUCUUUCCUGUCUUCAGCGGCCGACGGGCGAGUGAUUACUACGAGGCUGCCCUGUAUUUAAGGAUAAGGUCCCUAAAGGGACGCUAAUACCGCAUACGUCCAGAUGUUGAAGCGGGUGGAUCUACGGUGCUAGCGCUAUUUGAUGAGCCUAGGUCGCAUUAGCUAGUUGGUUUGGUAAAGGCCUACCAAGGCGACGAUCCGUAACUGAUCUGAGAGGAUGAUCAGUCACACUGGAACUGAGACACGGUCCAGACUCCUACGGGAGGCAGCAGUAGGGAAUAUUCCGCAAUGGGCGAAAGCCUGAUGGAGCAAUGCCGCGUGAGUGAUGAAGGUCUUCGGAUUGUAAAGCUCUUUUAGUUGGGAAGAACGAAAGUGUGAUAAUCCCUUGCUGUUUUGACGUUACCAAAACAGAAAGCCACGGCUAACUUCGUG